AGACGAUCGACUUCAGGUACGUAAAUAUGUUGAUAUUAUAUGUUUACAUAGGAGAGACGGAUCGCUAAACGUAAAAAUAUGGAGACAAUGAAGAUGUAUUAAGAUUGUUUUUCUUAAUUCCUGACACUUGACGCUUGUCACAUCAUGACAAAUCCACAUGUUCCAUGUGCAGAUAGCACUUUUACGAUCUACUUAGUAUGGCACUAUCACCAUGGACGAUUUUUACUUUCUUGACCCUUUUAAAACAUGUUUACGUUUAUUUAUUACAUUUUACAAAUAGAAUGUUAUGUUGUCAGGAAAGCAUCUCGCUCGAUAGCAAAUUCGGCCCACCUACACUCGACAUCGGGCGUAAGACAGAUCGCCCCAUGUUGACGAACUCGCCCCUUCAUAACCUUUUCUCUAACUCUAUAACUGUCACCUUAAAAUUGCACAAUUAGGUCUUUUAUACAAAAAUACAAUUCUGUUUCUUUGAAUAUAUAUCGCUGAUAUAAUCUACCUGGGAACAGUAUAUCUAACGUUAAUAUAUGUUCCUGAAUCUACAUACUUAAAUAACGAGUUGUAAAUCAAAUAAACGAUUCUUUAAAUUACAUAUAUAUUGUAAAACACAGAGAAAAUUAAUCAUGACAUGUUCUUAGCUAUUAUGAAAUGAAAAUAAAUCGCUAUUGGAACAGAAAUGAAAUUUGAUUAUAAAAUUUUCAGAAAAUUGCUUUUAUACUUAGAGACUUAAAAAUCACAACACAUAUUUUGUGGAUUUUCUUUUACCAAAUCCUGAUUGGCCCUCUUGUAACUGCUAUUCACAAGGUUGGGUGGUAAAUACCACCCCCGGUAUUUACCAGUGGUAUUUACCGGUAUUACCGCCGGACAAUACCCCUAGGGUCAAUACUGGCAAAUACUGGUCAAUUGAAAUUUUCAUGGUUCUUUCUACUAUUAAUUGAAGUAAAAUCUUGAUAAAAAUUAAAGUCAAAUAUAAUGUGUCAGCUUAUAAAAUUAAUGAAUUUGAUAUAUUUUAUUCAUUUAUAACACUUAUUCUUACUGAAUUAAAAUUUAGUUUUUAUGAAUUAUGAUAUUGCAUACUUAAGAUAUAUAUAUAUAUACAAAUUUAUGUUUUAUUUCAACAUGUUUAAAUCAAUAUAUUUUUUAUUCAAAAUGUAUGAUUUUACAGGUAAUUUAAAUUGAAUGUAGGACAGAAAGUCACAGGACAAAAAGUCACAGACAAAAAGUCACAAUUCAUUUUUUCUGAUUAUUUUCUUUGAAUAAAAUCGCUUAUUUCUACAAAAACAUUUUUGUAUUUUUCUUAAACUAUUGUAUAUAAACCUACUUUGUUAACAAAAUUUAUCAAAAAAUUAUCAAAGAUGAUCAAAUAAUUGUUAAAAAAACAAAAUGUCUGAUUAAAAUUAAAUAAAUCUUGAUUUUUCAAGUAUAAUGACACAUUUCCUAAACUUUAAUAUGAAUAUAUGUAUUAAAAAGUAAAUAUUUCAAAAUAUUUCUCUUAUAUAUUCAAACAAUUGUCACCAAAUUAUUUGUUUUGUCCUGUGACUUUUUGUCCUAUCAAAUUUGUGACUUUAUGUCCUGUGACUUUUUGUCCUGUGACUUUCUGUCCGUUUACCUUAAAAUUAAAGGUAAAUAAAACUACAGGUAAAUGAAGUUACAUGGGUCUUUUUACCUAUCACCUGGCCUUGCUACAAGAUGUAGGUGUUAAAAUUUAAUUACUAAAACAACAGCCUCCAAUAAAAGUUGACAGUACAUGGGUUGAAAGUAAUAAAAUUGAUAUAUGAAGAUUCCCUUAAACAAUAAAGUAUAGCUAUUGAACUGUGAGAUAAAAACCUUCUUCAUGCUGGAAAUGGAAAUUUGAAGCAGACAAAAAGUUUUUAUCUUUUACUAUAAUAUUAUGUACAUAUUAAUCAAAUGUAGAUCCCUGUUGAAUUUACAAUAGAAUAGAAAUGAAAGCAUUAAAAAUGAUUUGAAUACUUUCUAUAUAAAUUAAUUAUUAAUUGUAAUUAUAAUUGACCAAGUAGAUAGUAGUUUUUAUAGUAAUGACCACUCAAAAUUUCAAUCGACCAGUAUUUCCCAGUAUUUCCCAGUAUUUCCCGGUAAAUACCGGUAUUUACCACUGGCAUGGUCAAUACUAGUAUUGACCACUAGUAUUGACCACUUUUUUUGCCAACCUUGGCUAUUCAUGCCAUACUUUUUUAUGUACAGAAAAAAUUAAUACCUGACUAACUAGAGGUUAUUGAACACACCAGAGUAUUGAUGUGGCAUGACUUUAAAGUGAAAUUUAAACCCAUAAAUGAUUUUUUUUAAUACCUUACCAAUACUUUAAGGAGAGGCUAAAACAUCAAAGGGACAUACAAACUCAUAACUCGAAAUUAAAGCAACAAACCCAUGACUAAGACUAUUACAAGCAAACAACAGUACAUAGAAAACACAAUAGAAAACUAAGCAACACAAAUCCCCCAAAAACAGAGUGAGCUCAGGUGCUCUGGAAGGGUAGCAGAUCCUGCUACACAUGUAGCACCCAUAGUGUUUAAAUUAGUAUUAAGAUUAAUUCAUUCAAAAUGACGUAAUACAACUUUCAAAUUGUGCAAACUUUGUUAGUACAAAUAAUAUAUGUUAACGAUGGUUAAUACAUUUGUUUAACAAUAAUUGCAAAUUUACAAACAGGAAUUAAAAAAAUACUCUAGUGGUGCGUUUUUAAAGUCCGUCAGUAUAUUUCUUAAUAACUUCCCAAAAAAAAGUUUGAUCAUUGAAAAAAUACAUAAAGACCUCCUUCAUUGUGGUGUAAUUUUAAUAGAAUAAGACAUAACUGCUGGAUCCCACAAUACAAUGUCUUUUGACAGUCAGACAUGUUUUCCGACAUUGCCAUCAUUUGAAAAUUUCUCCUCCACUUGGAAAUGGUCUAUCUUUGUAUAUUUUUUUUCAAAAUGAUUCUCCUCUGAAGCCUAAUUGUUAUAAGAUAAAGAAUGGCAGUAGGAUUUCCAAUGAGACAACUAACCAGAAGAGUCCAAAUGACAUGAAUUUAUUAUCAACUUAUAUCACAAUAACAUUAUGUGUAACAUACAGCCUUCAACAAUGAGCAAAAUAGUACUGUAUAGUCAGCCAAAAUAUGUACUGACAGAACAAAAUGUGAUGAAGAUAAAAAAAAACAUUCUCAGCCUUAAAAUAAGACUAUUAUAUCAUAGAAUAACAAACAUUUAUAACCAUGAUAACAGACACUAACUCUAACCAACAACAACCACUGAAUUACAGUCUUCUGACUUGGGACAGCCAAAUAUGAAACGUGGAAGGGUUAAAAUGUUUGUGUGACUUAACUUUUCUUUUAACCUGGGAGGGACAGUGGUGUAACAGCACAACAAACUAAGAAACUGUAAAAAUAUUGUCAUUACUAUCAACCUAACACAGGCUGAAUGAUCCUCUUGAUAUAUGUGAAAAAAAUAGAGUUUUAAUUGUGUUCCUGUCACCUUUGCCAAAUAAAAGAACAUGAGAGUAAAAAGCAUUAACUUUUUAAUAUCUAAAAAACCAUAAAUAAACAUGGAGAAGCUUAUUACAACCAGGAAUACUCAGAAUUACAACAUCAUCAAAUGACUCCUUAUAAAUAGCAGUUUUUGACUAUUUACUUGUUGGCUGUGUAAGAAAUUAUAAUAGAUCGGUAGAAACUGUAAAUGCUAAAAGGGUCAGCAAUACAUUAGAUCUACAAAAAUGCAAAAUGACCAAAAACAUUGGUUAUGACGGAUAGGAGUUAAUGGUCUUGGCUUAAAUAGAUAUAGGAAGAUGUGGUGUGAGUGCCAAUGAGACAACUCUCCAUCCAAAUAACAAUUUAAAAAACAGUAAACCAUUAUAGGUCAAUGUACGUCAUUCAACACGGAGCCUUGGCUCACACCGAACAACAAGCUAUAAAGGGCCCCAAAAUUACUAGUGUAAAACCAUUCAAACGGGAAAACCAACGGUUCAAUUGGCUUUAAUGACUGCUUUUGAUGACUUUUCUUGAACAAAAAAUUUGGGAAGUGGAAGAAGUUUUCUUUCUAGACACUGUAUCAUUUUGAGCUUUUUGGCUUCAAAGAGAACUUUAAAGUCAACAAAGUAGGUCUGAAAAUUUAUUCCCAUAGGUAUAUUGUGGAAAACAUAAAUUGUCCCCCCUAAUUAUCGAGAACCUACAUGUAUGACCUAUAACAAUAUUCUAAAGUAAGACACAGUUACAUGGAGAACCAAAUUUUAGAAAAAAUGAUGUAAUGAAAAAAAUAUCAUGAUCCUAAAUUUUAUACAUGUCAUCCUGUAGGAUGCAUACAUGGCAUAUAUACAUGUUUAAGCACAACUUUAUAAUCAAAGAACAGUGUUUCUAAAUUUGAAAUAAGUUAGAAUUAUCUCCCCUUGAUUUGCUUUAUUUUGUAUAACCUAAAUAAUUCAAUUGUUAUAUUCCGCUGAUCUACGAUAACUUCAGUAACUCGUAAGUAGGAGAGAUUGAUGACAGGGAGGGACUGAAUUAUUCAGGUUACUUUUAUAUUGAAUUCUCCAACUACUGUAAAUAAUGACAAAGUUUAUGUCCCCAAUGAGACAGUUUUGUUUGCUAUCACUGUAAGUUGUCUAAAUCUUAUCUAAAAUUAAAAGAUAGUAUUCAACAGUAUUUAAAUUUGAAAAUCUUGAGUGAAAUUCUAUUUUGAUCCCACUUCGAUGAUCUUAUUAUAUACAAACUAAAGAUUAGAUCACACUUCAACAAAUCUUGAUAACCUUUCAAUAUUCAUUUGAUAUUAUUCUUUUAAAAAGCUCAGAGGCAAAAAUAUGUAUAUGCAUUGUAUUAAACCUGUCUGACAUUCAUAUUACGACAUGGAGGGACUAAAGACAUUAUUAAGUCAAAAAUGGCAAGUGAAGCUGGGAUCAUAUUCUUAGUUAAAUCACUUCUCUUGAUAUUGAUUGAAUCAACAGGUAAUCAAUUUAAUUAUCAAAUUUUAUGAAUUUGGCACACUUGAAAAUGUACAUGCAAACAUCAUGUUAGCAUGUUUAGCAUUGUUUAGAGGCUUUAACUUUUUGGAAAUUGCCAAGUCUAGCUCACUUCUUCAGUUCAGUUAUUCAUGUGAUUUUUAUGGAUUGAUCGACUACAAAUAUUGAAGGUCAGAAGUCAAAUGUCAUUCACACAAAUAGGGACCAGAUGGCCUUUCUAAAGAUUCUGAAAUAAAACAUUUGAAAUGAAAUAGUUCCUGGUAAUUAAAGUGACCCAAUUCAUAACAUAGUUAUUUAUUAAAUCUUCUUUCUUCCUAGUAAUAAACAUUUUUACAAUAACAAAUUUAAUAUCGGUAAAUAAAUACAGCGGACAUAUUUACCAUGUUUACUGGUUAAAACUAUGUAAUUAUUUCCGAAUGGGAAAAUUAUCAAGACCAAUAUUCUCUAAAUUGAAAGUCUUCACAAAAAAGGUUAUACUCAUGAAAAGGUAAACACCCACGGAAUAAAUGUUUUCUAUUUACAUGAAGAUAUUUAAAUGAUCAAGAUACAAUAUUUUAAUAACCUAACCUCGUCUAAUAAAAAAAGAAGUUCAUUGGAGCACAACUUAAAUGAAUAAGCACAAAGAAGUUUUGCAUGAUAGAUGGCAAUUAUUUGAUUAAAAUAGGAUUUCUGAUUCAUUACAUAAUUAUAGACCUCUGUGUUUAGUCCUAAUCUUAAAAUCAGAAUUUCGUAACAAUUAUUUUAUUCCUUGAACUGGACAUGCUAAUAAUUGGACUAUUAUGCAGCUUGUAACAUUAGCACACAAUGUUUUAAAUAUUGAUUCUGGAUAAUUUUUCUCAGGUAAAUGUGUUUGGAAUAGCAUAACUUUGUUUGUAAUCGUCACCAUGUUAGGUAAGUUAGGUAUACAUUUAGAAUUUGUUUAUAGAAAUCAGGUUAUGUUUGUACUAUUUGAUGGGGUGUUUAUAUUGAUGUACAAGAAUUUUGUUGGUCCAUAACACUGGAUCAUAAAGCCAAUUUAAUAACAUUCCAAUCGAUUUGAUAUUUUAGUCUUAGUCAUGCAGUCAGUGCAGUUGUAAACCAUUUCAAGAUUAUUUUAACGGUUUAACUUGUUUCUUUGUUUAUAGUCUGGAUAUUAACCUUAAAAUUCUUGAUGGAAUUACUCUUGUCAAAUGUUUAAGAAUUUUAAGAUAUUUUGACAUUUUAAUACAUUAAUAAAGAAGGACUUAGUCUUCCAAAGCAUUGAUUUUCCUCACAUUUAACAUGGAUAUUUAAAUCAUGUAUAUAUACACAACGUCAAUUCUAUUUCAUGAUUUGCAGAGAAUUUAAAUUAGAGACAAUAGUCUAUACACCUCAUUGCUAUUUGUCCACCAUUACUGGACAUACAUGUAACAGAAGUUCCUGUAAAAUUUUGAAAUCACAAGAGAAAAUGUUUAAUGCCACAAAGGAAAUAUGAUUGUUGUAUGACAUCAAUAGUUCAAGUGUCACAAAAUCUCAGGUCAAGUGUUGCAGAUCCCAAAAUAGCAGCAAGAUCUAUUGCUUCUCUUGGGUUUAGUUUAAACAUAUUUUAUUUGCUGAAUUAAAGCAAAAUGGAUUAGACACAAGUAAAUUCUUUCCCAUUAUCUUGGAUGUCUUCAUACAAUUUGUUGUAAUAUUUGCAAAUGUACAGACCAUCAGGACACAAAUAUUUUCUUUCAUGCCACAAUUGUUUAUUUUCUCACCCGGCAGCAAUUUCUUAUUUGACAUCUUGUUUGCUGUACCUGUUUUUAUUUUUGAGUGCCAAGCUUCAAGGGCAUUUAGGUCAUGAUCCCAAGAAACAGCUCCGCAUUUCCUCUUUAAGGGAUCUAGCUGAAGGUAGCCUUUUGCAUUGUAAAAUUAAUGGCCUCGCUUUAAAAAACUUCCAGCCCAUCAACCAGAUCUUUCAAAAGGGGUUUCCAAAUGUAAAAUCAAAGAUUUAAGGGCACACCAACAAUAAUACCCCACCCCUAUAAUUGGAAUAUUGUUGCAUUUUUUAGGUUUCUAUUACCCUACAACAUUUAUUUAUGUGUCUUGCUUAUUUGCAUCAGUUGAAGUCCCCUUGCAUGUCACCAUCCACUUUUGAAAUAUGAGGGAACAAGAAUGUGUCCACAUUACACAGAUGCCCCACUCGCACUAUCAUUUUCUAUGUUUAGUGGACUGUGAAAUUGGAAUAAAUUCUCUAAUUUGGCAUUAAAAUUAGAAAGAUCUUAUCAAAGGGAACAUGUAUACUAAGUUUCAAGUUGAUUGGACUUCAAACUUCAUCAAAAACUCCUUGACCAAAAUUUAACCUGAGCGGACAGACGGAUGACGAACAGACGGCGGACGGACAGACGGAGGAAGAACGAACGGAUGUGCAGACCAGAAAACAUAAUGCCCCUCUACUAUCGUAGGUGGGGCAUAAAAACAUGUCAGUAUCAUAUAUAUAGGUCUCUUGAAGGCUUUUUGCCAGAAAGGCAUUAGUAAACUUUUUCUAAGCUCUUAUCAUUGAAUGAUUUGAAAAUUAUAUUGUAUUUUUUUUUGUGUUUAAAGUUUUUUUUAUGUAUAUAAGUAAGUAUCUGUUUGAAGUCUAUAAAAAAAACCAUUUACUAUAUAUAUAUAUUGAAAAUAUAUAUAAUGUUCAAUGUAAACAAGUCGUCUUAGAUUUCACAAUUUUAAAUAUUUUCAUAUAUAAUUAUAAACAUGAUAAGAAUGGUUAAUAUUUAUGUAUACUGGUUAAAUUUGAGUUUUCCUCAAGUUAGAUUUUAUGGGACUUUUUUCUGUGUAUAUUUUGGACUUAAGGUAGCACAAUACAAAGAUUUUUCAUCCCCAAUCAGACAUCUUCAAGUGGGGACAUCACAAUAUAGCAACUAAUUACAUAAUAAUUAAUUAUGUAAUAAUUAUGUCAUAAUGAAAUUAUCACAAUUUGAAAGAUUAAUCUUUCUUCUUUCUUUUGGUACCUCAUUUAUAAAGUAUUUGUAAAGGACAGUAAACCCAAUAUUCAGUCGCUCUUCGGCCAUCACGCAUGCCAAGUUUUUUCUUUUCAUGAGGAAAGCACUGUUUAAAUGUUACAAGAUAUUUCAUUUACAUUUUUCAAUUUAGCUAUAUUUUGAUGAGAUACAUUUAAUACUCUGCCAACAAAUUGACCAUUAUUCAGACGAAGCUGAAUAUAUUCCGACAUCUUGAAAAUAUUUGUUCUGGUGUACGGGAGAUAACUCCCAUAGCAACAAACGCCGAUUUUCCGUUUUCCGCUAGAGGCGUUCAUUUACGUACCUCUCACCUUAAAGAUGCAUUUUAACCAAUUACUUGUCGAAAAUGUGAAAUCAGUAUAGAAAUUAGGAUAGGUUUAUUAUUUUUUGGUGAUUGAUUGUUUGCUUUGUGCCUCCUAAGCAUAAUAGUAUAAUAAAUAUUGUCUAGUACUUCUUACUUGAAAACUGCUUGUAUAAUAUUUUAUCUAUUUUUUUUAUAGAAAUGAUAGUAAUAUAAAACAAGAAGAUUUUUCCUUGAAAUACUAAGAAUACUGAGAAUUGAAGAUAAGCCUUAAGGUAUAUAUCCACAUUUUUUAUAGGAACUUUUAAAUUCUACAUUUUUUUCAACUGACAUGUGAUUUAUUUCACCCAAAGACUGUUCCUCAGCUAUCACUGUUUAAAAGAAAAUGUUUCCUAAAUAUAUAUCUAAUAUGCAAUGCUAUAAAGUGAGAUGGUAGCAUCAAAAAGGUAAUGGAAAAACAAUUUGAUUUUGAUAUUUAUCAUAUACAGGUGCAAACAAAUUCAGGGUGUUUAAAUGUUUUGAUUGGAACCAGCCUUCACCCUUACCUCAAACAAUAGUGUAACAUCACAAGAUAGAAAGACACACUAUAAAUUAUCAAUCAAAAGACAUAUAAACACAAACAAGUGAACAUACACUGAAUGAAUACAUUUGAUCUAUGAUACAAUGUAAAUAAAGCAUAUUUAGUAUAUUUGUAUUUCUUCACUUAUCAUCUUAUUAUCAAUUUUGAAAUGUAUUUGAAUCUUAAACAGCUGAAGAUCUACCUACUUUCAAAUUUAACAAAGUUAAUGAAAGCUAGGAUUUUUUUUGAAUAAUUGAUCUAUUAAAUUAAUAUUUUUGAUCAUGUUUGGAACAAAGUGCUUUGUAAGUCUAGGGAGGCUAAUAGACUAAUAUUGAAUUGUAAAUUGUAUAGUAUGUAUAUAUAUAUUCAAGUUGCACUAAAAUAUACAAAUAUUAUAUGUAAAAUAGAAUUACGGAAAAAGAAAUUAUUAAUAUAAUAUACAAAUAUAUGUGUGAAGAUAUAACAACCAAAGUAUAAUAAGAGGAUAGAAAUAGUCCUAACAUCUGCGAAAUAUACAAUUUUGACAUGUUUUUUCUUCAAUUAUUAUCAAUUUUGAAAUGUAUUUGAAUCUUAAACAGCUGAAGAUCUGCCUACUUUCAAACUUAACAAAUUUAAUGAAAGGUUUACCUUUUGAAAUAUAACCAACUGACGUCUUGUUUAAAAUAGCUAUUGAAUUUUCUAAUACAUCUUUGAUAAAUAUAAUUUUAGGCCAAUCUUCCAUACUACGAGAUAUUCAGGUAAAAAUAAGAAAAAGGACAUUGUUUGAAUACCUCAUUUUUCACUGCUAUUCAAAAGACUUUUUGAUUUUUUUUUUGUAUUUGACAUGACCUUUGCUAUUUUAUAGAUUUAUACUUAUGUUAAAAAAUAUGAUUGUAUAACUUGACAAAUUAUCAAUGCAGGUGCAUGGAAGAAAAUGUAAACCUUGAUAUAUGACUGGAUUAUAAAAGAGAGAAAGAAGAAAGAAGAUCGGCAUACCAAAUGAAAAAAUAGAACUUAAUGGAUUAAGGUAAAUAGUUUUUAAAUAUUCAUUUUAACUUUUCAAUAUAACAUGCAUAACAUAAAUCUAGCAGUAAUGUUUAGAAAUGUUUUAUGACCUUUCCCAGGGAUUCUUUAAUGAUCAUGAUGAUAAUAAUUAAUCAGGGGGAAAAACCCAAAUUAGAACUAUUAAAGACCUGUUUUUGUUGAAUAAGUAGAAGUUUAUCUCAGUGUGAAUCUGGCAAUUAUUUUACACAAUAACAAGUUAGUCAUAUAUGGCAUGUACUCAGUUAAGCAAAACAAAAAACGUUUACUGGCUUUUCAUGUGCACCUAUUUUUCAUGCAAAUGCUUAAUUUUAGGCUCUCAUUAAUAGCAAAAUGCUAGCUCUGACAUAUUAACCAAAGUGUUACAUACUAAGUAUCUGCAACUCUCCUCAUAUCAGAUAUACUUAUAUGGUUGUCACACAAUUAAUCCUCUGUCCUUCUUCAGGGUCUCUGUCUGAAAGAAGUAUCUUCAAUAUAUAUGAUUCAGUCAAUUUCUAAACCAGAUUGGAGAAGGUGUAUCAAUUUGUGAGGUCAGCUACAGUUUUCCAUGUUUUGUGUUUUGACCUGUAGCUCUUAAAGUUUGAAUAAGGCUACUGCAUGCUAACAUAAGUAUUAUUAGAUAAUUCAUAUUCUGUGAUUUAAGUCCUAUAGAACCUGUUAUUAGUAAAAACAUAGAGGGUACGUUUAUAGAAUGAUUGUUUUCAGUUUGAAUGAUAUAGGAUAUAUCUUGAGGUAUGUAAUAAUGUCAAUGAGAUAGCAACAUGAAUGAUACAUAAACUGUAAACACAAAUUUAAUUCAACUAAAAAAACUUAUAUGGGAAAAUCCACAGAAUGAAUCUCUUAAAAAUAUAUUAAAGUACACUUUGUUAAAAAGAUAUAGUUUUAGGAGUGUUACUUUUGUUAAUAGUUUUUCACAAAGGUGAGAUUUAAUGGACUAUAAUAAAAAUAAGAUACUUUUAGUAAAUGUAAAGGGAACAUUCGAACGGAUAUUGAUAAAAUAUUUUGUAGAAAUUCAAUAUUCAUUAUAUUCCAGGAAGAUACUCAUUGUUAAAGUUUCAGUUGAUGGCUUGAUAAUUUUUUUUAGCUUCAUCUAAUGACACUGGAAGAUAUUCAUUGUAUAAAUUUCAGUUGAUGGCUUGGUAAAUUGUUUAGGUUUCAGCUAAUUACACUUGACUUGAAGAUUCUCAUUGUUUAAAUUUCAGUUGAUGGCUUGUUAUGUUUAAGUUUCAUCUAAUGACACUGGACAAUAUUCAUUGUUUAAGUUUCAGUUGAUGGCUUGGUAAAUUGUUUAAGUUUCAUCUAAUGACUCUUGAAGAUACUAAUUGUUUAAAUUUCAGUUGAUGGGUUGAUAAAUUGUUUAAGUUUCAGCUUAUGACACUGAAAGAUACUUAUAGUUUAAGUUUAAGCUAAUGACACUGGAAGAUAUUCAUUGUUUAAGUUUCAGUUGAUGGCUCGGUAAAUUGUUUAAGUUUCAUCUAAUGACACUGGAAGAUUCUCAUUGUUUAAAUUUCAGUUGAUGGCUCAGUAAAUUGUUUAAGUUUCAUCUAAUGACACUGGAAAAUAUUCAUUGUUUAAGUUUAAGCUAAUGACUCUUGAAGAUAUUCAUUGUUUAAGUUUCAGUUGAUGGCUCGGUAAAUUGUUUAAUCUUCAUCUAAUGACACUGGAAAAUAUUCAUUGUUUAAGUUUCAGUUGAUGGGUUGAUAAAUUGUUUAAGUUUCAUCUAAUGACACUGGAAGAUUCUCAUUGUUUAAAUUUCAGUUGAUGGCUCGGUAAAUUGUUUAAGUUUCAUCUAAUGACACUGGAAAUAUUAUUGUUUAAGGUUUCAGUUGAUGGUUUGAAUAAUUGUUAAGUUUUCAUUAUGAUCUGAAGAUUCUCUUGGUUUAAAUUUCAGUUGAUGGUGUAUUGUUUAAGUUUCAUCUAUGAACUGGAAAAUAUUCUUGUUUAAGUUUCAGUUGAUGGGUUGAUAAAUUGUUUAUAGUUCAUCUAAUGACUCUUGAAGAUUUCAUUGGUUUAAAUUUCAGUUGAGUGGCUUGAUAAAUUGUUUAAGUUUCAUCUAAUGACUCUGAAGAUUCUAUUUUUAAUUAGUUUGUGGCUGAUAAAUUGUUUUAAGUUUCAUCUAAUGACACUUGAAGAUCUAUUGUUUAAUUUCAGUUGAUGGUUGAUAAAUUGUUUAGUUUAUCUAAUGAUCUGAAGAUUCUAUUGUUUAAAUUUCGUUGAUGGCUUAUAAAUUGUUUAAGUUUCAUCUAGAACUCUGAAAUUCUCAUGUUUAAAUUUCUAGUUGAUGGCUUGAAUAAUUAGUUUAAGUUUCAUCUAAUGACAUCUUGAAGAUUUCAUUGUUAAAUUUCAGUUGAUGGAAUGAAUAAAUUUUUAAGUUUCAUCUAAUGACUCUGAAGAUUCUCAUUGUUUAAAUUUAGUUGAUGGUUUGAUAUUGUUUAAGUUCAUCUAAUGAUCUUGAAGAAUUCCUAUUGUUUAAGAUUUCAGUUGAUGGUUUUGAUUAAAUUGUUUAGUUUCAUCUAAUGAUCUGAAGAUUCUCAUUGUUUAAAUUAUCAGUGAUGGUUUGAUAAUUGUUUAAGUUUCAUCUAAUGACACUGGAAGAUAUUCAUUGUUUAUGUCUCAAUUGAUCACAGGUUAAAGUUUUUCUGUGGAUUACAGAAUAAAGUUUUUGUGUUGGUAACCGGAUGAAGUUUCUCAGUUGGUGACGGGAUAAAGUUUUUCAGACGAUGAAAGGAUAAAGUUUUUUCAGUCAAUGAUAGGAUAUAGUUUCAUUUGAUGUCAGGAUAAACUGUUGAACAUGUUGAAGUUCCUGUUGAUGUCAGGAUAAACUAUUGAACAUGUUGAAGUUCCUGUUGAUAACAGGGUAAACUUUCUGUAAAUAAAACUUUUGUUAAACAUUAUGUAACAAUUUCUACUUUAUUUUAGAUAUAGUUUGACAAGAAAGAGUAAGCUAUGUAUUCUUUGAUUGGAACAGUGACUGUCCUGUUAGUUCUGUGUCAAACCCUGGUGGGAAUUACAUUUGUAAAGUCAGAUGAUUGUGCAAACAUAAGUGGAA
rnacentral:lncRNA from 1 species